ensembl:lncRNA
UUGCUUUGUAUGUAGAAGCUAAAAGUCUCCUUUUCUUUUUCUUGCCAUAAUCACCACAUUUUGCGGCAAGUUGUCUGACUUGAGAACUGAGAUCAAGGGAUCAAGGAGCAUCAAAAACAAGUUACUUGUCUGGUGUUUAAGCUGAUUGCUAAGUACAAGGUAAGUUUCAAACAAGAGAAACUGUAUAAUGUAGUAUUUAUUUUGAAACUGAUAUUUAUUAAACCAAAUUAUAUAUUUCAGUCAGGAUUACAUAAUUCUUCACUUACAUAAUGUAAGUGAAAAAAAUGGUUAGUGUGUAUUUACUGAAAACUGUAUCGAGAAC